rnacentral:lncRNA from 1 species
CUCCACUGGACGCGAGCGGGUGGAGGCGUGCGCGUCGGCGGCGCCGGGGGCCUGAGGAGGCGUAGUCCCCGCCGGCUUUUCCCCGGGAGCGCCUUCUUGGCCGGUGCGUGGCCGGCAGCUCGGGAACAGCAGCUGAUCCGGACCGGGAUAUGACCUUCUGCCUGGAAUAGCUGAAGUUCUUAAAAGUUGAAUGAGACCUGAGGUAAGAAGAGAGAACUCCCCCUAAUAAGGACCAAAGUUGUAUCUUUUUUCCCUUCAGUUUCGCUCUCUUGCCCAUUCCUGUGCUAAAACAUAGCUGUUUAGUGUUUAAUAUUUUACUAAGGGAAUCUGAAUGUGUAUGAUUAGUUCAGGUCAAUUGAUGUAGGUAAUUCGGGAACCCUUUAAAUUGCUUUCUUGAGAAAGGAGAGGGUGGUGGUGGCAUUCUUUUACCACAUCUUUUGAAAAAGAAAGAGCAUCAUGGAUGUGAAGUUAUAUAAAGCUGACUUCUUUUAUCAUACCCUCUUUC